UGGGAAUUAAGGAGGGCACGGGUUGUGAUGAGCACUGGGCGUUGUAUGUAAGCGAUGAAUCGCUGAAUUCUACUCCGGAAACCAAUACUGCACUGCGUGUUAACUAACUAGAAUUUAAAUUUAAAAAAAAAAAAAAAAUCAACACCAGAAUGGCUUCUGAGUUGUCCAACCUGGGUUGGGACAAUUCCAUAGUCCAUCCUUGCAAGGACUGGACAUUUCUGUCUGGGAGUUCAUGACACUCGAACCACUGCAGCCACAGGGUGAAGACUUGACUCAGAAGCCAUUAGGAGGCCGUUUGGGGGACUGUCACUGCGGUGGGGACAAGACACCUCGCCUCUCUGCCUGAGAGAACUGACUACCCUGCCCUGCUGCGAAUGUGCCACAGCUGCUUCCUCACCAUGGUCUGGAAAAGCUACCCCCUCUUCCAGGAAGAGCUCCUGUGCCGACUCAGAGAGGCCAUCUUCCCUCAACCCCGCUGGUGGGAUAAGAUUCCUCUCCCUUUCCACGUGGCGAAUGUACUUUGCCUAGGCUGCAAACAUUGACCUUAUCUGUAUUUAUCUCACGUUUAUUCCUUAUUACCCUCUGCUCUGUUUACCUCUGUGUAUUGUUAGGUCAUGCCCUGGACCAGCCUCCCUCACGGGGUGCUGCGAGGACCCAACCCGGUGAGGCAGUUCCUCCGGGCUCUAGGACAGGACGAUCAUUAUCGCAGGGAGGAAGGGCUUGGGUCUCGCCCUCCCGUAAAGGUUCCAGGACACAGGACCAAGUGGAGAUCUGGAGUCAGAAAGCUUGGGUUUCAAUCUGGGCCCGUGUGACCCUGGGGGCAAGAGACCACCUAAGCUUAUUUUAGAUCUUUCGCAACCACCUUGAGACCUGUUGCUGGCGAUGUGCACGGUGGACCCCCGAACGGGCUCAGCAUCCUGAGCCUUCGCCAAAAAAUGAGGAUGGGAGACACUGCUUGCCCGGGUCACAGUCAGAAGGAAAUACAAGUGCAGGUGCGGAGACUUGAUGUAAAUUAUAAAUCAGAAUCUGGGGGGCGCAUGGCUGGCUCAGUCGGUUAAGCAUCCCACUUUGGUUUAGGUCGCAAUCUCAUGGUUUGCGGGUUCGAGCCCCGCGUCGGGCUCUGGGCUGACAGCUCAGAGCCUGGGGCCUGCUUCGGAUUCUGUGUCUUCCUCUCUCUCCGCCCCUCCCCUGCUCAUGCUCUGUCUCUCUCUCUCUCUCUCUCUCUCUCUC